rnacentral:lncRNA from 1 species
AUGCUCCUCUUCAUGCCAAGUACAAUGCAGGCGGUGUCACCUAAACAGCAGGAAGACAGCCAGGUACAACGCAGCAGUGUCACCUCUACAGCAGGAAGGCAGCCAAGUACAACGUGGGCAAUAGCACCUAUACAGCAGGAAGACAGCCAAGUACAACACAGCAGUGUCACCUAUACAGCAGGAAGACAGCCAAGUACAACACAGCAGUGUCACCUAUACAGCAGGAAGACAGCCAAGUACAACACAGCAGUGUCACCUAUACAGCAGGAGUACAACGUAGCAGUGUCACCCAUACUGCUGUUAGGAAGCCAGGUACAACACAGCAGUGUCACCUAUACUGCUGUAAGGCAGCCGGGUACAACACAGCAGUGUCACCUAUACAACAGGAAGACAGCCAGGUAUAACACAGCAGUGUCACCUAUACAGCAGGAAGACAGCCAGGUACAACACAGCAGUGUCACCUAUACUGCUGUAAGGCAGCCGGGGUACAACACAGCAGUGUCACCUAUACAGCAGGAAGGCAGCCGGGUACAACACAGCAGUGUCACCUAUACAGCAGGAAGACAGCCGGGUACAACACAUCAGUGUCACCUAUUCAGCAGGAAGGCAUGCAAGAGGUCUUCUUGGUGGGUUGGUGGCAGAUAUGACUGGAAGGAAAGGUUUGGGGCAACUUUUGGGAUCCUGGUAAUGUUCUGUUUGUUCAUCUGGGUGCCAGUCAUAUAG